rnacentral:lncRNA from 1 species
CGCGUUGCCAUGGCAACGGCAGAGCCCGCGGGGUUGCUCAGUCCUGCCGUUGGCAAAAAAUGCUUCAAAGCUCCUGGGUGAGCGUGGUUGUGAGCGGCAGCGAGGGCAGCAGCUCUGCUCAGUGUGAGAAAGGAUGCUUUCUGGGAACUGCCAGGCCCUGUCCAGAAUAGCAUUGAAAAGCUUGGAGCUUUUGUGCAUUGCAUACAAAUUACRCCAGAACCGUGAGCUGCAGUGGCAAUCCUGGCUCCUUUUCGCUAUGAGCUGGAUAAGCUGAGAUGAGAUGAGAUUUGACAAAAGGCAAGAUGACCACAACUGCGUUAYAGGUUGUGUACCAUCAACUCCCUACAAGAAAAUCUGUUGUGAAAAGAGUGAGGGGGAAGACGAGUAACGGGAUUGAACCACACAAAGUCCAGCAGCAUAGUCUUAUCUGUUCCCUCAAUGUGGGCUAGUAAAUGGAUAGCGCUGUGUGUUGUUUGGUAGAUCUUUGGUGGUCAAGAGAGCUGUCUGUUUCAGGAUCUGCUGAUGGCUUGCGUUGCUAGCUUAUUCCACCUCUGCAACUGCCUCUGUUAUGCCUUUAACAAAAUGAAAUAGGAUAGCAACAUUACUAAAUGCCUUUAGAGAAUGCUUUGAGGUCCUCAGGAGAAAAGAGUUUUACAUCUGUGAACCAGUAGG